CCCGCCCCCUUGCGCCUCGCAGCCCCCUUCCCUCGCGGGGAUAGGACCACGCCGCCGUCACUCGCACACACCUCCUGCGUCCCGCUCGCCCCCGCCCCGGCCCCAGCCCGGCUCCUCCGCGACGAUUGGCAAUGGGACGGAGCCGUCAAGGCUGGGCGCCCUAUCUGAGAAGGGGGUGGCUCAGCCCGCCCCUCGAGCCGGGCACGUGACCGACACUGAUCUAUCUGCGGGCGGGUAAGCUGCGGGGGCGCCGCCGCGGCCCAGCGGCGCCGAGGCCCCGCGCGCGCUCCUGUGCCGGGGCCGCCGCCGGGCUCCGCCGGUGACGCAGGGUCCUGGAAACCCGGCCGCAGACACCGCAGCGAGGUGCCCGGCCGUCGUGGCUGGGAGGAGGGCCUGGAAGCGUUGAGUCUCGCUGCCGAAAAAUCGGACGAGGUCUACAGGCUGGGCACUGGCCUGCUGCUGUCCACCUCCCCAAGCACCGCAUCGCCUCUCUCCAGGCAGCGGGACAAGCCCCUGCCCGCACGCUGCAAUUCAUAUGGCUGUCAUGCACCCGCCAGCUUGUUUGACAGUCCCCCUGCCACCCACCCCACCCAUACGACUACCUCCUGACCUGUGUCACUGCUGUCGUGCUGCUACCACUCGCACGGUACCACUGGAUAUGCUGCCCUCACCAACGUAUCUCCACUGAUCUCCAUCCCAUUGCUUCUGCUUUGGGGAUGAAAUGAGGUGGCACAAAGCCAAAUGCCACAACCCCAAGCUUUAAUGCUACUCAAGAGUUAACCUUCUAUUUAAAAGCUUAACUGAGUAUUUUUAGAGACACACUAAUGAUCUUAGACAUUAAAAAAUGUCAAAUAACUGACAGCCAUGCAAACAGAGUUUUGUUUGUUAGUCAAAAUCAAAACUAGAUUUGUAUGUCAGUUAUUGGGAAAAAAAUAGCACUUUCCUAACUUUCAUGACAUAAGAGGACUGAAACAGAAUUUAAAUUGAUCACAGCACAUUGUCACUUCUCAUAUAGUAUACACUAUUUAAGUCUCUUGUAAUGCAUUAGCAGGCCCGGUUUUCCAAACAGAAACUGUACUAAGAGUACCCUGCAGCACUGGUUUGGUGCCCCCCAUCUCUGCAGUCAUUGGCAAGCAAGUUCCCCUGCAUACACGUUACAGUAUCCGCUAGCAAGUGCACAUCCAAGUGUUUUUUCCAAGCCACCCGAGGAAGCAGGAGAGCACUGCUGCAGAAUCUGUGAUCGGAGAAGAGGGUGGAUUCCCCCUGCCUCCACUUAAAUCUUUUUUGUUCUUCCCCAUUGACUUGGAGAGCCUGUUUUGGUGUGCUUCCUGUAAGUACAGACUCCUUUAGAAACUUUCCUGCUACGCUGAUAGUAUAACUAGGUUUGCCUUUUGCCUGAAAAUAGCUGAUUGGGAUUUCCACCCAACAGACCCGAGACCCCACUUUUACCCUUCUUUCUUUAUCUCCUUGUUUUACUCCCUCUGUUUUUGGGAACCUCUUUGUGUAUGUUUCUUUUUUUACUUAGCUAUGUAUUUUAAUGAAGCUGCACAAGCUUAGUCAUAUCACAAGACUAUUGCUCACUGCAUGAG
ensembl:lncRNA